rnacentral:rRNA from 1 species
AGUCGAACGAGGUUAGUCUGGUAGCAAUACUGGGCUGACCUAGUGGCGAACGGGUGCGUAACACGUGACCAACCUGCCUGAAAGUGGGGGAUAGCUCGGCGAAAGCCGGAUUAAUACCGCAUGUGAUCGCAAGAUUAAAGCAGCAAUGCGCUUUUAGAGGGGGUCGCGGCCUAUCAGCUAGUUGGUGAGGUAAAGGCUUACCAAGGCAGCGACGGGUAGCUGGUCUGAGAGGACGACCAGCCACACUGGAACUGAGACACGGUCCAGACACCUACGGGUGGCAGCAGUCGAGAAUUUUUCUCAAUGGGGGAAACCCUGAAGGAGCGACGCCGCGUGGAGGAUGAAGGCUUUCGGGUUGUAAACUCCUGUCAUCUGGGAACAAAACUCGCAAGAGCUUGAUAGUACCAGAAGAGGAAGAGACGGCUAACUCUGUGCCAGCAGCCGCGGUAAUACAGAGGUCUCAAGCGUUGUUCGGAUUCAUUGGGCGUAAAGGGCGCGUAGGCGGUGGGGUAAGUCUGGUGUGAAAUCUCGGAGCUCAACUUCGAAAUUGCACUGGAUACUGCUCUGCUANAGGGCUGGAGAGGAGAUCGGAAUUCACGGUGUAGCAGUGAAAUG